UCGACUUUAUCGAGUAAAAUUUUCCUCGGAUAGGACGUUUUUUGGAAUGUAAUUUAAAAAAUUAUUAUUAUGCUCUUGGCCACCAAUAUCAAAAUUUGUGGCAAAGAAGAAAAUAAUAAUCGAUUAUCCAUGUUUUCAAAAUUAAAAUGACGACGUUCAUCGAUGAUAGAUAAGAAAAUGACCGGCGGUCAUCGAUAUAUUACACCCGGGUAGCAUAAAUUAUCACCUCGUUUCUUUAAAGAAGAAAAAUUCCGAUUGAAAAUUAGAUAAGAAUCACGAAAGCUCUUUUGAUCUUUAAAAAUCGAUAAUAAAACGCAAGUAUAUAUAUAAUAUAUUUGAUAAACAAUAGAUUGAAAAAAGCCAAGUACGACACGAAGUUUUAGAGCCUUACCAAAAAGUUUUGGAGAAAGGAAAUAACUGAAUGUAAAAACGUUGGUAAAUGAUAUGUACACAUGGUGAUACGAAAAUAAAUCGUAUCUAUGUUUGCGUCCGAUCAUCAUAUGAAGAAGAACGGCCACUAUUUUCACGCAGCUUCGUACCGUUGAUAUCGCUAGUAACGCGAUAAGAAGAGAAAGCUUUCGUAAUCACUUAUUACCGAUACAUUCUUUUUCAAUUCGUCAUCGACUCACGAAAUAAACAGAAUGAAAAACUAUUAUAAAAUCUUUAUUAUAUCGGUUGUAAAAUGCUCGCGAAUCAACGAAUUCUCCGAUCUAUAAUUGAGAAUGAUUUAAAAACUGAAACAUCUCGAAAUAGCUCAUUUAAAUUGUUGAAAAUUAUUAUACAUUCUCUAUGUAUCCCAGUACAUCCAGUAUAAGAAAUUAUAUUUGAAUAGGAUUAUAUAUCUCAAUUAAAAUGCACGCGUGCGCGGAAUAAAUAAUACAUAUUUAAAUUAAUCAUUGAAGAUUGAAAAUAUAUACUUGUUUGUAAACAAAAACAUUCAGAUGAUAUAUUUAUAUUCUGCCAAGAAAAAAAUUAUAUUAUAUAUUUCUCUCUCCCUCUCGAUAUAUUUUAUAUACAUAAAAAUCCAAAGAUACUGAAAAGAAAAUCAAAAAUCUUAUUUUGGGAGAAAUGAAUUUUAAGCUUUUAUCUUGUCUCGUAAAAAAUACUCGGAAGCUAUAUCGAGAAUCAGUAGAGUUGUGUAUUUCAAAACAUUUUUUUGUAAGAUGAAACAACAGCUUUAAUAACUUUUUGGAAUAAUUUAUAACGUGUUUCUGUUCUAGCCACCGCUUUAAUUAAUAGAAUGCGUCGUCCUCGUAUGUCGAUCGAGCAUCGAUCCUUUGCGUCGCCGCAUAAGGGAAAUUCGAGAAGAGAUGUUUAUUUAAUACCAUGAAACGAUGACGUGAGGGGCGCGUAAUCUUGACGCGUUGCAUCGGGUUGAAGAAGCAAGGUCGAUUCUUGCUCGAGCUCAGAUCGGCGCGCGUCGCGUAUUCCAAAAAGACUAUUACCACGAGGCGAGAUAAACGCCCAACCGGCUGGUAUCUGUAAAUCAAACAUGCCCCUGUUCCCUCUCUCUUUCUCCUGUAUCCGAGAAAUGUUAAAAAAUUUUAUUUUUGUUAUUUUGUAUGCGUUCUUCUCUAUAAUACAAAAAAUUAAUGUUUUUUAUACAACAGAGGAUAAUUGUUUUUAGAAUAAAGAAUGGAAGAGUGUAUUUUAUAAUUUAUGUACAUUGUAAUAAAACUGUAUAUAAUUGUAUGCACUCUUGCUAUUCAAUUGAUAUAAACAAUAAUAAAGCUUUAUUUGCCAUAAUUGAUACUAUAUCUAACCAUGAUAAGUUAUAUACACCAUGUUUAUGUAAUUAACAGAAUGUGUAGUAUACAAUAAAUAAUUUUCUUAUUUUUUAAAUGCCAACAAGACAUAAAAUACAAUUCGAUGUUUAUACAUUAUAUAUUGACGAAAUAUUAAAUUAUGCAGGGAAUGCAUGCAAACUCUUUAUAUGUAUGUGGAAAUAUAUAUGUGUAACAUAGCUCUAAUUUAUCUUUAUUCACAUAAACUUAUUUAGAUAUAUAACUAUCUACCAAAACCAUGUUUUUAUUUUAUUGUAGUGAACAAAUCAUCAGCGUUAAUAAAUUGAUACUCUGUAAAAUUUGUGCCUCUCUAUUGAGAGGCAACAUUACACGGAAGUACGCAAAUACAAUUCACCGUACUCUCUUGUAAGCUAUAACAAAAUUAUAUAUUGUUAAAAUCUAUAACAGAAAUUUUAUAUAUAUUGAUUAUUUUCAUAUAUAUAAAAGAAAUUAUUACAUUUUAUAUGCAUAUUAUAUAUCCGCUUUUUAGUAUUGUUUUAGCAAUUAAAAGUUUUGCAUAAAAAAUAUACAAUUUGAAAUUGCUCUCCUCGUUUGACAGAAAUGAGAAAAAGCUUUCCAUAUUAUGAUGCUACAUUUUGUAUCAUGCAAUAAUUAUAAAUCUGGGGGGCUCAAUUGUAUUAAAAAUAUAACAAAUAUAUAACUAUUAAUACUUUAUCCAAUUAAUAAGCGGUAAUCAGAAAUUUAUUCAGAAGCGAAUUGUUUCAAAAUGUAUGUUUUGAAUGUAUGACUAUUCGAUACUGUAAUUUUUAUAAAUCACGGAAUUGCCUAAACGCGGCAUAAAGAUAUUCCAUAGAUAAACUUAAAGCUAAAACUCCAAAUGCAUGUCAGAAACUUUAUCAUACUGCUAUUCUCAUAUGGAUAUACAAUGUGUAUCGUUACUGCACAUUGCACAGCAGGAUACAAUUAAUUCAAUGAAAAACAUUUACAAUGGAAUAUAUACUAUUUUGUUACUUGCCAUUGAUUUAGCUUAGCAAUCUGUAGAAAAUUUUUUGUACAUAUAUAAAAACAUUAAAAGACACGAGAGAACAUCCAUUCUGAUCAGAAGUUAGAUGUUCAAAUAAAGUCUUCGCGUGUAACCACCAGCUUUUUUCAAAAUGUUUGUAUACUUCCAACUCGAUUAAAAGCCAGUAUUUCGCCUUUUUAUCCGAUUAUCGUUAUGAAGUAAUAAAAUAUUCGGUUGAACGUCCAGAAAUGUAUUCAUGAGCGAUAAUUUCAAAAAUUUCUGUAACAACAGUGUGUGCGUAAUGUGCUUUCGAAAAAGUUCUGCCUCCAAUGUACAAUGAUGUGGUCAAUCGCUCUUUGAUUU